GUGGGUUGCUGCAGGGAAGGCUUCCCAGUGGAGGUGGCUCCUGAGCUCCAGGAAAAGGGAAGUGAGUGUCCUUCCAGGCAGAGGGAACAGCAGGUGCAAAGGCCUGGGGGCUCAUCUAUAAGGCCCUCUGGAGUCACAAGCCCCAUCUCAGACUCUCCAACGCUGGACCUGCAGCGCCCAGCCCUGCCCUGGUGCCACCACCUGCCAGCUCUGUGCCUGCCCCUCCACUAGAUCAUGACUUGGGCUCCAGCUCCCUCACUCUCCAUGCCUCUCACUUGCGGGUUGUGCCCUGCUCAGCUGGCCCUACUUUGGCCCCCUCCCUACCUGGAUUUGUGAAGCCCCAAAUUUCAUCUCCUCCCCCACCACACUUAUUCACAGCCUCCGCCUGCUGACAUACCCAGGCAAGACUCCCUUCCCCUCCAGGCAGCCAAACUUCAGCUCGAAUCUUCUAGCUCUUACCAGACCCCUGAUGAAUCCCAGGAUCUUAGCAGGUGGUCCCAGGGCCUCUUUGAACCACGGUUUUACUUACCUGAAAAAUAAAAAGGCAUGAUUUAGAUGA
rnacentral:antisense_RNA from 1 species